rnacentral:lncRNA from 1 species
AUCAGUACGUAAUUUCUGUUACCCACAAAUGAAAUAAGAUUGUCAUCACUUGGUCCAGAUUUCCAGAAAUGAUGACAGAUUCCUGUUUUCCGUUAGAUUUGCUUCACAAUGAGGAUUACUUUAGCCCUAUUAGAUUUCAUCAGCUAAGGGUUUGGUUUCAUUGAUUAUGUUUUUCUUGAAUUUGAAAAACUUUCUUUUUAAUGUAACAAACUUUAUUGUAAAAACCAGAAUGUUUUAAUGUCUUCUAAAUCUUGUCAUACUUCACUAUCCAAAGUAUCAUGUCUCUCUAAACAAAACUUCAGACUCUCUCACUUUGAAAAAUAAAUAACAACAUUUGAAUAUAUUUCUUUUUAUCAUUAUUACUCAACAUGUUGAAAACAUUUUAAUUCUAGAUAGCAUGUAUACUCUGGUUUCUCUUCAAAUAAUAGAAAUCCUUAUUUCAUGAGACUAUUUUUAUUGUGUUUUCUGCCAUAAUAAGUUUAAUUUGUAAUUUUAUAAUUACUAAACAGGUAUUUUCAAGAUAUGAAAAGCAUAGGCAGUUAAUAUUGGAAGAAAUUUUUACUUCACUUGCAAGAUUACCAACUAGCAAGAGAAGUUUAAGGAAUUUCAGGUAACUAUGGUAGAAUGUGACUACUGUGAAGAACAUUUGAACUGUCAUAUACUUACUUUCCAUUCCUCUCUGGUUUAUCUUUGGAUAUUUAUACAAAAGAAGUACUCCAUAGAUAGCUUGGAUGUGUGAAGUAAUACAGCAUAUUUAGGGUCUUAAUGAGGUUCAUUGGUCCUGAAAUAAAAGCAUCUGUACCACCUGGAGCACUGUUAACACUUGGACCAGUUAAUGUCUUCGUGUGCAGGACUUUCCUAUGCUUUCCAUGUGCUUAGAAGCGUUCCUAACCCAGUAGAAACCUCUCCUUUCAUUUGCAACAACAAAAACAUUUCUAAGCACUAGAGAUCAAAAUGAACUACAAGAAAAGCAUGAGGCAUGUGGAUCAAAGGACUUAAGACAGUUUUAAAUUUGUUUUAUGAGCUGUGAUAAGAAAGGUGGACUUAAUCUUUAGACAGUGUUAAGCUAUUCAGUAAUAUUUUAGAGAGCUGAAAAAUGGCUUUAAGAAUAAUGUAGAAGGACUUGUGUAAUGGCUUAGAAGUUAAUAGCAGUGGCUACUCUUCCAGAGAAGGAUUCCACAUUUGAUUCCCACAUGGUAGCUCAUAAGUGUCUGUAAGUCUGGUUUUAGGAGAUAUGACACCCUUAUCUGGCUUCUGCAAGGCAUCACCCAGGCCCAUGAAAUGCAGAUGCACACCAAUGCAUAUAAAGGAAAGUCUCUAUGGGCACUAGGCGUGCACAUGGUACACGGACAAAACACAAAUACCAAUACACAUGAAAAUAAAUCUUUUUUUACGGAAAGAAUAACAGAGAAUAGACACAGAAUUAAAUACUAUUUAAUCACUAAGCACAUUCAUAAAUGAGUUAUUCACUGCUGUAAUCAACUUUAUUGUCUGUUAUCAUAGGUAAUCAUCAUUAUUCCUGAUGAUCAAAUGCAUUGGCCUGGUAUAUAGGGUUAUUUUUUUGUUUGUUUGAUUUUAUAAAAUUAUAUUUUGAACUCACUGUGCACUGAUAAACAUCUGUUCAAGUGAAGAAAAGUGUUCAGUAUACAAAUGAAUUCUUACACUUCUAUAGUGUAUGUAAACUAAAACACUUGGAGAUUAAGUUUAAUAUAAUCUCAUCCUCUAGCACAGAUAAUUAAGAAUUG